rnacentral:rRNA from 1 species
CAGUAGCCGCGGGAAUACCGAGGGUGCGAGCGUUAAUCGGAUUUACUGGGCGUAAAGCGUGCGUAGGCGGCUUCUUAAGUCGGAUGUGAAAUCCCUGAGCUUAACUUAGGAAUUGCAUUCGAUACUGGGAAGCUAGAGUAUGGGAGAGGAUGGUAGAAUUCCAGGUGUAGCGGUGAAAUGCGUAGAGAUCUGGAGGAAUACCGAUGGCGAAGGCAGCCAUCUGGCCUAAUACUGACGCUGAGGUACGAAAGCAUGGGGAGCAAACAGGAUUAGAGACCCCGGUAGUCCCUGUCUCUUAUAC